AACGAACGCUGGCGGCAGGCCUAACACAUGCAAGUCGAGCGGACCUUUCGGGGUCAGCGGCGGACGGGUGAGUAACGCGUGGGAAUAUGCCCUUCUCUACGGAAUAGUCCUGGGAAACUGGGGGUAAUACCGUAUACGCCCUUUGGGGGAAAGAUUUAUCGGGGAAGGAUUAGCCCGCGUUGGAUUAGGUAGUUGGUGGGGUAAUGGCCUACCAAGCCGACGAUCCAUAGCUGGUUUGAGAGGAUGAUCAGCCACACUGGGACUGAGACAUGGCCCAGACUCCUACGGGAGGCAGCAGUGGGGAAUCUUAGACAAUGGGGGCAACCCUGAUCUAGCCAUGCCGCGUGAGUGAUGAAGGCCUUAGGGUUGUAAAGCUCUUUCAGCUGGGAAGAUAAUGACGGUACCAGCAGAAGAAGCCCCGGCUAACUCCG
rnacentral:rRNA from 1 species